UUCCUAUGAGAAGCCGAAUUGAUUUAAUUUUCUUUCCUUUGCUUUGUAUCAUGGAGGAUUUAUGUAUAUUUUUCAUAAGCUCCUGUUUUAACUUGUAUAUUUGGCAAUUUCUUUGUUUUCAUAUGUCAGAGUACUUUUGCUGCUGUUCUCAAUGCUUUUUUAAAGUAGAGCUCUUGAAAUGGCCAGUUGAACUUCCGCAUAUCAGUUGGAUUUGAUGGUCUGAUCUUUUUGCUAUUUUACUUCGUGAAUUUUUGUUAUUUAGAAUUUGGUUUAAAUUAUGAACUGCUUAAGGAAUGAAGCAUCAUGCAAACAUAAGAUUGAGAUUUGGACACCGUUGCUAUGAUAUUGUUAUUUUGCUUAAUUAUCAUGACUCCUAAACUGUAGUAUGCUGUGUAGUACUUGUGUAACAUCUCAGGGCAUUCUGCCUAUAAGUGACAUAAUUGAACAUAAUUUCUAAACCCUACCAUCUGUAUGAAAUCAACAACUUAACCCGAAGCAAGAGACGAGAUUUGAUGUUGGUCGAAAUAGAGGCUAGCUUGGCUGGAGGAUUUCAAAAUAGCUCGAUUGAGAAAGGGUUUUUCCUUUGGUCGUGAAAGGAAUGAGAAGGAAGAGAGCUGUUGAGUGAGGGUAUUGGUCUGUUUCAAGGGGAACUCCAAGAAAUUGACAGUGAUUAUAGGUUACGGGUGCUAUGGAUUUGGCGUUGACUAGAGAUGGGGAAGAAAGAUGAUGGAGUCAGUGGCUGAGAAGGGUUUUAAAAAAGGAAAAAAGAAAAAAAAAGAUGGUUGUAGGUGACCGGAGUAGGAGAGAAUGAUGCAGUGUCUUCUUUUCAGUGAAGAAGAAAAGAGCGUUCUCCUUAGAGAAAAAUCAAAAUCCUUUUUAGUGCAGUCGCUCACCAUCGUAAAGGAUGGUUAAGGGGAAGGAUUGAGAGAGUGUGGAUCGCUGUCCCCAAAUGAUCGAGGUCAGGGCUGAAAUUUUUCCCCAGUAUGGAGCGGGAUUAGUUUUCCG
rnacentral:misc_RNA from 1 species